AGCAUUGAAGUACCAGUUGCCAUAUAAUCAACAAUGUUAAGCAAUAUCAAGCCUGGUCAGUACCUAGAUGGGUGACCACUUGGGAAUACCAGGUGCUGCAAGC